GCGGAUGUGGCGGAAUUGGCAGACGCGCCAGAUUUAGGUUCUGGUUCCGCAAGGAGUGAAGGUUCAAGUCCUUUCAUCCGCA
rfam:Oscillatoriales cyanobacterium TSR001 contig_4, whole genome shotgun sequence.